rnacentral:rRNA from 1 species
UACAGAGGGGGCAAGCGUUGUUCGGAAUUACUGGGCGUAAAGGGCGCGUAGGCGGCCUUCUAAGUCGAACGUGAAAUCCUCAGGCUCAACCUGGGAACUGCGUCCGAUACUGGAUGGCUUGAAUCCGGGAGAGGGAUGCAGAAUUCCAGGUGUAGCGGUGAAAUGCGUAGAUAUCUGGAGGAAUACCGGUGGCGAAGGCGGCAUCCUGGACCGGCAUUGACGCUGAGGAGCGAAAGCCAGGGGAGCAAACGGG